UUGGGGAGCCCUGAAUUUUGGGGGGAUUUUUGGGUGGAUUUUUAGGGGUUUUUGGGGUAUUUCUGGCUGGUUCCUGAGUGGGUUUUUUUGCUAUUUUUGGGAUAUUUCUGGGUGGAUUUUUUGCUAUUUUUGGGGUAUUUCUGGAUGGAUUUUUUGCUAUUUUUGGGAUAUUUCUGGCUGGAUUUUUUGCUAUUUUUGGGAUAUUUCUGGAUGGAUUUUUUGGGAUUUUUGGGAUAUUUCUGGGUGGAUUUUUUUGCUAUUUCUGGGCUAUUUCUGGGAUAUUUCUGGGAUAUUUCUGGGUGGAUUUUUUUGCUAUUUUUGGGAUAUUUCUGGGUGGAUUUUUUUGCUAUUUUUGGGAUAUUUCUGGGUGGAUUUUUUUGCUAUUUCUGGGUGGAUUUUUUUGCUAUUUUUGGGAUAUUUCUGGGUGGAUUUUUUUGC
rnacentral:lncRNA from 1 species